AUGAUCUUUCUCGAAUCAAAUCAUUCAUGAUCUUUCUCGGAUCAGAUUCUUCAUGAUCUUUCUCGGAUCAUAUUCUUCCACACAUAAGCCUGUGGGGGCUGUCCCAGGCAUAAGCUCCUGGCAGGCUAUUCCACAUGACAAUGCCAGUCCAAACCAAAUUUUUCUUUCUUUUCAUUUUUAUGAAAUUAUAAUAUUUGACUUCAUUAAUCAAUUCAACUUUUACAGUGUAAUAAAUAUGUCAUACCCAU
rnacentral:lncRNA from 1 species